ensembl:lncRNA
UCAGUUGUUUAUUAUUUAUUAAGGAAUACAUAGGCCUAUUACUGUUAUAUUUUUUAUUAAUAACCAUUGCUAUAUAGAUGAUAACUUUGUCUAGUGCCCUUAUGAAUGUUGUUAGCACGACUGAAAAUUUAAGUACAAUAUGAAAUAGCAUAGACGUAACAUACUUGUUCUACAGAUCUCUGCACUAGUGUUAUAUGCUACUGUUUUGGUAGCGUUGAUAGCGUUUCUGACAGAUAAUAUCAUGAUGGUUUUUUUUUUUUGCAUUUGCCUUCCCGGAUGUGGUAUCCUGUCAGCAGUGUCUGUGGGCUCUUUUGAUAACUAUCGGUUUCAGUUCUGGCAGUGUUGCCAGAUAUUGCUAUGAAAACAUCAUCGGAUUUGGUCUGAUUACUAGUAAUGAUUUUAUUUUAUUUUUUUGUCUAAGAACAUGAAUAUUUUGUACAACACUUUUAGAAGGCCGAGUCAUUACCGACAAAACAACAACAACAUCAACUAAUUACUAAUUCAGCGGCUCAACCACUGACUAUUAUUGCGUACAAAUUAGAACAUGGAAACUAAAAAUUUAAACAAACCCUUUUCACACUGCUGGACCGUCAUCCUCCUCCUCAUCUGUUUGUUUGCAGAUCGUAGUGUUGCUCAUCAAAGUUUUCUGCAGCGUAAACACUUUAGACCCAUAUAAUAUUUAGAUCAAAGAUGAAAAGAUCUUGUUUAUUUAUUAACUUAAGGUUUCGGGUAAAACAGCCGCGUUCGCUGAAGUCUCACACCUGAGGUUAACUUUUUGCACGUUCGUUUAUGAGCUUAUGAGCGUCUGCGCUAGCAAAAUAAUAAAAAUGUAAAUGCUCUACGAUGCUUACCGGUAUUGCUUCAUCGAAAUGACCACAUACAUCCACAUUUCUUGGUAAAUAAUGAUAAUCCAUUGUUUGUUUCCAUCCAAACCGAACAAACAUGGCGGACUGCACUCACGGGCACAGAAUUCAAAUGAAGGUACUUUGAAGAAUGCUGGGAAUCAAAACCAACACGUUUGUCAGUCUUGGGCAACAUGGGGUGGGGGAAAUGAUUUUCAUUUUUGGGUGAGCUCUCCCUUUAAUUUGCAUGCUACAUACUAAAUAUUAUUAAUGCUGGGCACAGCCACUUAUUGUGCUGUCAUUGCAGUUAGUGCUGCUGUAAAUAGAUUGUCUUAUAACAGGUAGAACAGGGCCGUGCACGGGGGGUGGCCGGUGGCUAGAGCUACUGCCCUUUUGCCCUCAUCGGCUGAGGUGCCCCUCUCACCAAUCCCCCCAUCACCACUGCUCAAAGCUGUCUGUUACCGCUCUGCUAAAUAUCCGCUGAUUCUGCUAAUCCACUGCCCGUUCCGUAGCAUCACUCACAAUCUGUGUGCCGCUCUCUGGAGAGUGGAGACCACCCGAAGGUCGUUUCAUUAACAGGUAGAAGAUGCAUUACGAUCCACAUUGGUUGAGCCGCUGAAUUAGUAAUUGUUGUUGUUGUUUUUUUUGUCGGUAAUGACUCGGCCUUCUUAAAGUGUUGUACAAAAUAUCAAUGUUAGACAAAUAUAAUUUAAUAAUAAUAAUAAUAAUUUAAAAACUAAUCUAAUAAUUUCCUUUUACAGACUGUCAUAUUUAUUUUCUUAAAGUUAACUUUAACAACAUAAAACCAACCAAAUGAAGCUUAAAUUUCAAUAUUUAAUUGUUUGUUUCUGAAACAAUAUGUUGAACACCAAAGUUGUAGCCUUCCUAAAAACAGACUACACUGAGAAUUUGUUGGCCAUUAGUGACUACAAGUGGAAAGAUAUUUUUAUUUAUUUUUAUUUGUUUUCAUAGCAAUAUCUGGCAACACUGCCAGAACUGAAACUGAUAGUAAUCAAAAGAGCCCACAGACACUGCUGACAGGUACCACAUCCGGUAAGGCAAAUGCAAAAAAACACACACAAAAUAACCCCAUCAUGAUAUUAUCUGUCAGAAACGCUAUCAACGCUAUCAAAACAGUAGCAUAUAACACUAUUGCAGAGAUCUGUAGAACAAGUAUGUUACAUCUAUGCUAUUUCAUAUUGUACUUAAAUUUUCAGUCGUGCUAACAACAUUCAGAAGGGCACAAGACAAAGUUAUCAUCUAUAUAGCAAUGGUUAUUAAUAAAAAAUAUAACAGUAAUAGGCA